AUUUUCGUUAAGGAUGCAAAACAUGGAAAGAAGUGUGUACGAAGCAGCAAUAAGUGGGAAUGUAGCCGCCAUGGAUGCGCUGCUCGACGAAGAUGAGCUUAUUCUCGAUAGGGUUUCACUUACGUGUUUUCAUGAAACUCCCCUACACGUUGCCAUCAUGCGUGGACACCUUCAUUUCGCCGCAUCAAUCCUCCGUCGACGACCCAAGCUGUCGGGUGAAUUCGACGCUCUUCACCGUCUGCCUGUUCACCUGGCCGCCAUCGAGGGCCAUGCGGGUCUCGUCGAACAAUUACUAGACGUAAACCGAAGUUGUUGUUCCGUACGAGACCAGGAUGGGAGAACGGCGCUUCAUUUGGCAGCCAUGAAAGGGAGAGUUGAUGUUUUGGACGUGUUGAUCAGGUAUUGUCCCGAGGCGACAGAAGAGAGAUUGUACCGUGGGGAAACAAGUUUACACUUGUGCGUCAGAUAUAAUCAAUUGGAAGCUCUGAUGAUACUGUUGGAGGCUUCAAAUGAACGUAAUGGAGCAUUUGUUACCGUCCGGGAUGAUGCUGGUAACACCAUCCUGCAUCUUGCCACAUUUCUCAAUAAUUUGGAGAUUGUAAGAUAUCUUAUUUCCGUAUCCAGAAUCAAAGCUGAGAUAAACACAGUCAAUGGAAUGGGGUUCACUGCCUUGGACUUGAUAAACCAUUCUCCAAGAGAUUUCAAAACCCUUGAAGUAGAAAAUGUUUUGAUGAGAGCAGUAGCUAAUAGAAUUGAAGACCCGAAUAACCAAAUCGUUCAAUCUCAAACGCAACGACUAGUACCGAUUCCGAACAUUGGAGGGAUGAAAACCGAAACAAACGCGAAGAAAUCAUCAUGGCUCGUCCGGUUACGUCAAGUCUGCAACAAGCACAUGAAACACCAAGGCAAUUGGAUAGAGGAAAUGCAAGGUUCGCUGAUGCUCGUUGCCACAUUAACCGCAACCAUUUCUUUCCAAGUUGCUUUCAGCCCGCCUGGCGGCGUUUGGCAACAACAUUACCAUAAAGACAAGGAACCAAUUUGUAGUUUGUCCAGAGAUGGAGUUUGCCAACCGGGAACUUCUGUUUUAGCCUAUGUGUACCCUAGAGCUUAUUUCUUACUCAUAAUUUUCGCCACCGUCUCAUUCUUUGCGUCGAUCAGCAUUGUGAUGUUAGGCAUCAGCGGAUUACCUUUGAAGAACAAGAAGAAGAUUGCAGUAAUAACUAUGGGUCCGACCCAGAUUACCAUUAUGGUACAGACCCAAGUUACAGCGACGAAGAGGACACCAACACCAAAUUUCAGAAUUUGUCUAUCAAGGAAAAAUCAAGUUUUGCUAGGGAUUCCGAUUUGAAUAAUGAGAAAACCCCAGAGUUGGGGAUUGGGUUUUCACCUGUUGAUGAUAAAAUUUACGAGAAUGUUCAAAACAUUAUAAAAGAUGGGAGGCUAGAGAAGCUCAAAGUAGAUGAGUGUAAGAUUUAUUUGAGGAAAAAUGGUAUUAGAUUGAGUGGGAAAAAGGAUGUUCUUAUUCAACGCAUAAAGGAACAUUUAG